GUUACCGUACCCUCUUUUUACUUGUCGCAUGUCGGCAUCUUCAAAUGGCAAAUUUAUUUUACACAAAUUCGUUGACAUGCCAUGAUGGUAGAUGGACACUACAGCACAAUAUAAGCUGAGCUGGAAAUUACAAUUGAUAAGAUAUCACAUUGGUUUGAGCAUGAUUCCCAACAAGAUUAUGAAGGGGCAUAUAUAUCAUAUAUACAUAGGAAAUAUAUAGUGUCAUUAAAUUACUCUCAUACGGUACCUCACCUCUGUAGCUGUAAAUUGCGAAACGGUGGAUUCAUUCAUAAUUUUGAGUUACUUAUUGCAAUUGGAAAUAACGUUGAUAAAGCUAACAGCAUUAUGCCAUGAUGUUGAUGGGAUGUUCUGAUUGGACAAAAAGGAAAUUGUGAAUUGAACAAAUAGCAAACUUGAAGUUCAUAGGAAAAAAAGUAGGAAAUUGGAAUAAUGAAAAUUCAUAGUUUCAGUGAUUAUCUUACAAUCAUCAUGAUCAUUGUCAAUACUACAAGUGCAUCAUCAUGAUCAUAUAUAUCUGAAUUCACCUUGGAUAAUUAUACAUUUAAAAUAAGAAUUUGGAUAUAAUAAGAAUUUCUGUGCUGGCGUUGCUACUGUUGGCUUCAUGUACCACCAGCUGGGAGUGUUAAACCUUUUUGACCUUUCGUGAGGGUCUGUCACGGUCCGUCACAAUUGGUUAGUGUCAUAUAUGCAUGAUUAUGGAAGUUUCACCAACCUAGACAAGCUUUACAGCCCUGGCACGGUUGUUGGUUGCACUUAGAGUCAAAUGACAGCUUGCUGUAUACAUUUGUAGUUCAAAUAGUCUGAAUGAAUCUACAUGUAUGGUGACAAUCUUCUAAAUUACUGUUCAUUCUGAAACUGGCAUUUUAUACUAGUACAUGUAGUAGUCGAACAUAUUAAACAAUACAUGUACUUCAAAGUAUCAAUUUAUUUUGUCUCGCCUUACAUGAAAGUCAUGAAAGUUGGUUGUAUAUAUGCAAGAAAUAUGUAUUACAGUCUUGGGGUGAUGAUGUAAGCUAUUUUUAAUAGAGCUUUACAUUUAUAAAAGCUAAAAGAGCUGGUUCAGGGAAUGAGUGUAAAAUAUACUGUUACAUUUUAUUACAUGUAAUUGGAUACAUUUUAUUGUAUAUGAGUACCUUGCAAGGUCUACUUGUCUAUCAGGUUAGGUUGACCUGACCUUAAUUUUAUUUCAUGGAUAAUCUAAGUGAUUUAGGUUAUUUCAGUUUAAUACAAUGUUAACAUGG